rnacentral:rRNA from 1 species
UACGAAGGGUGCAAGCGUUAUUCGGAAUUACUGGGCGUAAAGCGUGCGUAGGUGGUGAGUUAAGUCUGUCGUGAAAGCCCCGGGCUUAACCUGGGAACUGCGUUUGAUACGGAUGGGCUAGAGUUCGGGAGAGGAGAGUGGAAUUCCCAGUGUAGAGGUGAAAUUCGUAGAUAUCGAGAGGAACACCGGUGGCGAAGGCGGCCUUCUGGACAGUGACUGACGCUGAGACGCGAAAGCUAGGGGAGCAAACGGG